UGGCGGACGGGUGAGUAAUGUCUGGGAAGCUGCCUGAUGGAGGGGGAUAACUACUGGAAACGGUAGCUAAUACCGCAUAACGUCGCAAGACCAAAGAGGGGGACCUUAGGGCCUCUUGCCGUCGGAUGUGCCCAGAUGGGAUUAGCUAGUAGGUGGGGUAAAGGCUCACCUAGGCGACGAUCCCUAGCUGGUCUGAGAGGAUGACCAGCCACACUGGAACUGAGACACGGUCCAG
rnacentral:rRNA from 1 species